rnacentral:misc_RNA from 1 species
GUAGGUGAACCUGCGGUUGGAUCAUUAUAAAAUAAUGAUGACAAACCCAUAUGAAAUGCUUCGGUGUUUGAAAUGGGGAGUCUCUAAACCUCUGUGCACUGUAAUAGUAUCGGGUCGAGGUUGAGUAGUCUCUAGGGAUUGCAAUGCCUAGGCCCAAAAACGGUUUCGACCGUAUAAACAACCUUUAAUUUUGACUGACUUUUGUUUCUAACGAAUCAAAAACAACUUUUAACAACGGAUCUCUUGGCUCAC